rnacentral:rRNA from 1 species
UGGUUGUCGUCAGCUCGUGUCGUGAGAUGUUGGGUUAAGUCCCGCAACGAGCGCAACCCCUAUUGUUAGUUGCCAUCAUUCAGUUGGGCACUCUAGCGAGACUGCCGGUAAUAAACCGGAGGAAGGUGGGGAUGACGUCAAAUCAUCAUGCCCCUUAUGACCUGGGCUACACACGUGCUACAAUGGUUGGUACAACGAGUUGCGAGUCGGUGACGGCGAGCUAAUCUCUUAAAGCCAAUCUCAGUUCGGAUUGUAGGCUGCAACUCGCCUACAUGAAGUCGGAAUCGCUAGUAAUCGCGGAUCAGCACGCCGCGGUGAAUACGUUCCCGGGCCUU